GCGGUGGUAAAAAUCACUCUGAGUGCGCCCGCUCUCAUCAGACCUCGGAAGCUAAGCAGGGUUGAGCCUGGACAGUGCUUGGAUGGGAGACCGCUGUGCACAAACAGGCUGCCCGUG
rnacentral:rRNA from 1 species